GAUGAACGCUCGCUACAGGCUUAACACAUGCAAGUCGAGGGGAAACGAUGAGAGAGCUUGCUCUCUUAGGCGUCGACCGGCGCACGGGUGAGUAACGCGUAUCCAACCUACCCAUUACAGGGGGAUAACCUUGCGAAAGUAAGACUAAUACCCCAUGGCAUUUUAUGGUGGCAUCAUUAUAGGAUUAAAGAUUUAUUGGUAAUGGAUGGGGAUGCGUCUGAUUAGCUUGUUGGCGGGGUAACGGCCCACCAAGGCAACGAUCAGUAGGGGUUCUGAGAGGAAGGUCCCCCACAUUGGAACUGAGACACGGUCCAAACUCCUACGGGAGGCAGCAGUGAGGAAGAUUGGUCAAUGGGCGAGAGCUUGAACCAGCCAAGUAGCGUGCAGGAUGACGGCCCUAUGGGUUGUAAACUGCUUUUAUAGGGGAAUAAAGUGAGCUACGUGUAGUUUAUUGCAUGUACCCUAUGAAUAAGGACCGGCUAAUUCCGUG
rnacentral:rRNA from 1 species